rnacentral:ncRNA from 1 species
UUCACGGAGAGUUUGAUCCUGGCUCAGGACGAACGCUGGCGGCGUGCUUAACACAUGCAAGUCGAACGAUGAACCGCUUUCGGGCGGGGAUUAGUGGCGAACGGGUGAGUAACACGUGGGCAAUCUGCCCUGCACUCUGGGACAAGCCCUGGAAACGGGGUCUAAUACCGGAUAUGACUGUCCAUCGCAUGGUGGAUGGUGUAAAGCUCCGGCGGUGCAGGAUGAGCCCGCGGCCUAUCAGCUUGUUGGUGAGGUAGUGGCUCACCAAGGCGACGACGGGUAGCCGGCCUGAGAGGGCGACCGGCCACACUGGGACUGAUGCACGGCCCAGACUCCUACGGGAGGCAGCAGUGGGG